UGCCAGUCGGCAUUCUAUCAUUUGUGUUUCAGUCGUACAGCAUAGUGUUUGAAAAUAUUAAAGAGUCAAAUUGUGAAAAAGUGUAUUGGUAGCUGAAAAAGUGUUUUAAUAGUGUGAACGAAGAAGAAAAUAGUUCUGUGGAAAUGGCUGCCGGAAAUUGGGCUUUAGUGAGGAAAUUGCAAAUACGGUUAGGCGAAGAACCGGGAGGCUAGCAGAGGCGACGUACAUAAAGAUGAGCUUUGAAAGAAAUCAAUGAGAACAAAUGAAAUCUAGGCACAGAGCCGAUUUUUGGAUGUUUUUUUCAAACACACUUGGCUGUCUAUUAGCUGUUACCGCGUACCCUAGUUACCAAUUAGGCAGGCUGAUUCGGUGAGGAAUCUAUGCUCAACAGACAGGCAGGCAGGCUUAUAACAUGGGCACCUACUUACUUAUGUGUUGGGAACAAUUGAGAGGCAGGCAUAAGACACAAUAUCGGGCAGAAAGCUGCGUUGAAAAAUGUCUGUGUAAAGUCUAGAACAUGAGUAAUCCAAUGGAUUUGGGAAAAUGAGUAAGUUGUUGGGCGUCUUUGAAAAGCAAUUUUGUCGUUUAUACUACUUCCGCUACAUGCAAACAUAAGUCUAUAACUAAAUGUUAUUGCAGUUUGCUGAAAAAAAUGAAACACUACUCAGUUAUAAAGACAAUAAUUGACCAUAGGCGCAGAGCUCCUCGUUCGUAAUAAACUGAAGACAAAGCGAUAAGCCCAUCUACUACAAUAUCCAUAGUAUAUCUUCUUCGACAUUGUUGUUUCUUCUACUGCCAAAAAGGCCCUUGUCAUCGACGGUAGAGGAAUGUUAUGAUGCAGAAUUGGUAUUUGUUUUGUUCCACUUACUUACCUAGGAUAUACUGUUCAUAUAAAUAUAAAUAUACGUACGUUAAAAACCCCCAGUUUAGCACAAAUUGUUAAGAAACCUAACACAAAUAAUUUUUUUUUUAAUAUAAAAAGCUUUGAAUUAUAUAUUUAAAAGGUUGAAAGAGUAAAUCAAAUAACUCCAUAUGUACAUGUGUCUUAAACCUACAUAAAUCAAACUUAUUGAAAUAUUGUUUUAUCGGUCUCUUAUAUAAUUAUGUUAAUACAAAAUUACUGCGUUAUUUAUCAUAUAUGACAAUACCAAUUUAUAUAAAUCAAAACCAAACACAAUGCAGAAAAAAAAACAAAAAAUAAGCUAAAAAAAAUUAAGAAAAGCAUUACAACGAAGGUAAAAAUAAAUAACUAUUCCUUCCCACUUUGUUAAGUCUUUAAUUAAAUUCUUUAGGAACGCCCCGUCGUCGACCAAAGUGAGUACAAACGUAAAUAAUACAUAGAAAUAAUGAAUUUUAAACGCACAAAUAUAUAAAUAAUUUAUUAUAUUUGUUUUACAUUGCCCUACAAAAAAUGCAACAAAUGCACUGAACUAAAAUGGUCACAGAUUUUAUAACUAUUAUUUCAUAAGAAACUGUAGGAAACAACUGCGAUACAUAAAUCAAAAAACUACCUGAAAAUAAUAUAAAAUACAUUAAGAAACCGAUGGGAAAGCGAAAAACGAUAAAUCAAAUAAAAUUUUUCGGGAUGUAAUAUAAAGCGCUUUAUAUUAUAAUAUGGUUUUAUAAACUGUUCCAAAAAUACCUAUAUAUAAAUUCUGCGUACCCUUAUAAAAAUAUCCGAUUAUAUGCUCUUAACAAGAACGAUGGACGGUACUUAAUAAGUUGUAGAAGUAAUAAUCUUUAGGUAGGAUGCCGAUAAAAUACAAGAUUCUGGUGAUAUUAUUGCAACAAAUAUUUCAUCAUAUGGUAUUUUGAACAAUAUGAAAAGAAAGAGUGUAGAUAAAAAACACAAGUGCCAAAUAUGCCAAAUUUUUGGCGAAAAACAACUAUGAAUAUAAAUUCAUGUUUAUUCUUAUGAAAUGGCACAAGGUGGACUAUUUACCAUGUCCUUUUAGUGGUAAACAUCUUAAACGACUUUAAAACUGCCAGUAUUUGGAUUCAUUCAAAACUAUUUCUGAUUUAAAAUACUUUUUUAUUCAUAUUUCCUGAGCUUCCCUCAGUUUGGUAAAGAAGACAUAACAAAGAAAACAGCUUUCAUUCUUCAAUCAUUUCAACCAUUUGGACUCGCCACUUCUUUGCUCGCCCUGAUUGAGCCACACUCUGUUCUUAAAAAAUUAUAUGUGAAAGCUAUUCAUUACAACAAUAUUCAAUAAAAGUCUAUUCAAUAUAAAACUCUUGUGGAUACCACAUUAAAGUGGCACAGGUUCUUGCUAGUCUCAUUCAAUUUGAUUCCUGCAAACCAUUUGUUCACCAAGUUUAUCAAACGGUGUAAAGCAUCAGUCACAUCACAAUAUCCACAGUUGUUGUACAACAUAUUGAUUUUCAAUUCCCUAUUUUCGCUAUCGAUCGAUAAUUAGAUCUUUUCUCAUUUCCACCAAGCUGUCACUAAUUCGUGUGAUGGUCUCCAUCAUUUUUACCCACACGUUUGAUUUCACGAUUUUGUGAAAUGGUCAAGGUGAUAUUAAAUAAAUAGUUACCAAAUAUGUAACUUAGUCAAAAUUCAAAAUUUCCAAUCCUAUUACUUACUCAAAAUUUCAUUUCAAGUCCAAAUACCAAAACUGAAACGUUAAGAUGAAAUGAGAAAUAUUUCACAAUAAUAUUCAGAAUACCCGAGUUAAUGGUUAAACUACUAAUGUUAAAAUAUAACAUACAAAAUUUAUAGCUCCAACCAUAAGAUGGUGUUUUGAGCCGUUGAGGUUUAAUUUUUUUUGAAGCGUAUUAAUGAUCCAUAAUUGAAGUGGAACCAAAACAAAUAUAAAAGUAUAAAAGCGUAUUAAUAACAUAGCCCUCAUUUAGCCUGAAUGAAUAUAAAUGGUGCAUAAACGAAAACCUAUACACGUAUAAUAGAAAUAACAAACACGAUAUUUGGUUAUUAUUACGGAAGUAACUUACAACUUUUCUCUUCAAAAGUUUUAAAUGUUAACAAAACGUAACCAUAUAUAAUUCUACAAUUAAAAACGUAAACAAGAAAGAAACGUUGCCAUAUUUCAAUAUUACUUAACAUAAUACACCACGCUUAAUUUCGUUUAGACGCGUCUCGGAUUAUUUUUUUUUAAAUACACUAUUUCUACUACAAAAUUUAAACUUUGAUGUUAUUGUUACAGUCAAACUUCGAUAAAAAUUGGAAAAACGUCAAAAUUUAAUAAACAUACAAUUGAUGACGAUACACAGUUCUAUGAACUACUAAACCUUGAUAGAUAGGCAGAGUAAAUUACCGAUCCAUAUUUAUUUGCGAUACUGCAAUAACACUAUACAUAAAACACCGCGCAAAAUUUCAUUGAAAUUCUUUAAAAAACGUCUCAUAUAAUACUACUACGUUUACACAAUUUUUUCUACUAAAUUUAUUCUUCGAAAAUAUUACCAAAAUCAAACUUCGAUAAUAUUGCGAAAAGCGUCGAAAUAUAUUGAACACACAGUUGAUGACAAUACAAAUUUUAUGAAUUACUAAACAAUAAAAGAUAGGAGAGAUUAAGUACCAAUCCAUAUCUUUUUAACAACAUUGCAAUAAUACUAAACAUCACACAUCUCGUCUACAUUCAUAAAUAUUAUUCAAAACACGUCUCGUUUAAUUUUAUUACUAUUUCUAUUUUUUCGAAAAUAUUCUUAAAAUCAAACAUCGAAAAUUUUUUGCAACAUUUGAUGACAAUAAAGACUUCUUUGAACUAUUUUACACCCUGCAAGUUUUGAGCGAUAAAAUUAUCGAUCCAUAUUUAUUUCCAAUAUUUCAGUAGUACUAAUCAUAAUACAUUUCGUAUAAGAAUACAAUUACAAUAAUUUUAUUUUGAUUACACAAAGCUUACAAAAGAGUAAAGCCUUAUUAAAACAAUUUGAACUGAAAGAGACCCUAACGACGAAACCCUAAUAUUUUUACACAAAGAAAAUGUCUUCGAAAAGCGUACAAAGAGCAAAGAGUUUAAGAAAAGCGUUAUUAAAUUAAUUUGGUAUGAUAGACCCUAUCGACGUAACCCUAAUAUUUUUACGAAAAGAAAAUGUCUUCGAAAAGCGUACAAAGAGCAAAGAGUUUAAGUAAAGCGUUAUUAAAAUAAUUUGGUAUGAUAGACCCUAACGACGUAACCCUAAUAUUUUUACGAAAAGAAAAUGUCUUCGAAAAGCGUACAAAGAGUAAAGAGUUUAAGUAAAGCGUUAUUAAAAUAAUUUGGUAUGAUAGACCCUAACGACGAAUUCCUAAUUUUUUUACACAAAGAAAAUGUCUUCGAAAAGCGUACAAAGAGCAAAGAGUUAAAGUAAAGCGUUAUUAAAUUAAUUUGGUAUGAUAGACCCUAUCGACGUAACCCUAAUAUUUUUACGAAAAGAAAAUGUCUUCGAAAAGCGUACAAAGAGCAAAGAGUUUAAGUAAAGCGUUAUUAAAAUAAUUUGGUAUGAUAGACCCUAUCGACGUAACCCUAAUAUUUUUACGAAAAGAAAAUGUCUUCGAAAAGCGUACAAAGAGUAAAGAGUUAAAGUAAAGCGUUAUUAAAUUAAUUUGGUAUGAUAGACCCUAUCGACGUAACCCUAAUAUUUUUACACAAAGAAAAUGUCUUCGAAAAGCGUACAAAGAGUGAAGAGUUAAAGUAAAGCGUUAUUAAAUUAAUUUGGUAUGAUAGACCCUAUUGACGUAACCCUAAUAUUUUUACGAAAAGAAAAUGUCUUCGAAAAGCGUACAAAGAGUAAAGAGUUUAAGUAAAGCGUUAUUACAAUUGAUGACAAUACGAGUUCUAUGAACUAUUUUACCAUGAAAGAUAGGAGAGAUUAAAUUACCAAUCCAUAUUUUUUUGCGACAUUUCAAUAGAACUAAGCGUAACAUACCUCGUAUAAAUACAUUCGUCGAAAUUAUUUGAAACACGUCCCGUAUAAUUUUAAUUUGUUUACACUAUUUCUACCACUAAAUUUAUUCUUCGAAAAUAUUACUAAAAUCAUACUUCGAAAAUAUUACGAAAAGCGUCGAAAAAUAUUGAACAUACAAUUGAUGACAAUACGAGUUCUAUGAACUAUUUUGCCCUGAAAGAUAGGAGAGAUUAAAUUACCAAUCCAUAUUUUUUUGCGACAUUUCAAUAGUACUAAGCGUAACAUACUUCGUAUAAAUACAUUCGUCGAAAUUAUUUGAAACACGUCCCGUAUAAUUUUAAUUUGUUUACACUAUUUCUACCACUAAAUUUAUUCUUCGAAAAUAUUACUAAAAUCAUACUUCGAAAAUAUUACGAAAAGCGUCGAAAAAUAUUGAACAUACAAUUGAUGACAAUACGAGUUCUAUGAACUAUUUUACCCUGAAAGAUAGGAGAGAUUAAAUUACCAAUCCAUAUUUUUUUGCGACAUUUCAAUAGUACUAAGCGUAACAUACUUCGUACAAAUACAUUCGUCGAAAUUAUUUAAAACACGUCCCGUAUAAUUUUAAUUUGUUUACACUAUUUCUACCACUAAAUUUAUUCUUCGAAAAUAUUACGAAAAGCGUCGAAAAAUAUUGAACAUACAAUUGAUGACAAUACGAGUUCUAUGAACUAUUUUACCCUGAAAGAUAGGAGAGAUUAAAUUACCAAUCCAUAUUUUUUUGCGACAUUUCAAUAGUACUAAGCGUAACAUACUUCGUACAAAUACAUUCGUCGAAAUUAUUUGAAACACGUCCCGUAUAAUUUUAAUUUGUUUACACUAUUUCUACCACUAAAUUUAUUCUUCGAAAAUAUUACUAAAAUCAUACUUCGAAAAUAUUACGAAAAGCGUCGAAAAAUAUUGAACAUACAAUUGAUGACAAUACGAGUUCUAUGAACUAUUUUACCCUGAAAGAUAGGAGAGAUUAAAUUACCAAUCCAUAUUUUUUUGCGACAUUUCAAUAGUACUAAGCGUAACAUACUUCGUACAAAUACAUUCGUCGAAAUUAUUUAAAACACGUCCCGUAUAAUUUUAAUUUGUUUACACUAUUUCUACCACUAAAUUUAUUCUUCGAAAAUAUUACUAAAAUCAUACUUCGAAAAUAUUACGAAAAGCGUCGAAAAAUAUUGAACAUACAAUUGAUGACAAUACGAGUUCUAUGAACUAUUUUACCCUGAAAGAUAGGAGAGAUUAAAUUACCAAUCCAUAUUUUUUUGCGACAUUUCAAUAGAACUAAGCGUAACAUACUUCGUAUAAAUACAUUCGUCGAAAUUAUUUGAAACACGUCCCGUAUAAUUUUAAUUUGUUUACACUAUUUCCACCACUAAAUUUAUUCCUCGAAAAUAUUACUAAAAUCAUACUUCGAAAAUAUUACGAAAAGCGUCGAAAAAUAUUGAACAUAAAAUUGAUGACAAUACGAGUUCUAUGAACUAUUUUACCCUAAAAGAUAGGAGAGAUUAAAUUACCAAUCCAUAUUUUUUGCGACAUUUCAAUAGAACUAAGCGUAACAUACUUCGUAUAAAUACAUUCGUCGAAAUUAUUUGAAACACGUCCCGUAUAAUUUUAAUUUGUUUACACUAUUUCUACCACUAAAUUUAUUCUUCGAAAAUAUUACUAAAAUCAUACUUCGAAAAUAUUACGAAAAGCGUCGAAAAAUAUUGAACAUACAAUUGAUGACAAUACGAGUUCUAUGAACUAUUUUACCCUGAAAGAUAGGAGAGAUUAAAUUACCAAUCCAUAUUUUUUUGCGACAUUUCAAUAGAACUAAGCGUAACAUACCUCGUAUAAAUACAUUCGUCGAAAUUAUUUGAAACACGUCCCGUAUAAUUUUAAUUUGUUUACACUAUUUCUACCACUAAAUUUAUUCUUCGAAAAUAUUACUAAAAUCAUACUUCGAAAAUAUUACGAAAAGCGUCGAAAAAUAUUGAACAUACAAUUGAUGACAAUACGAGUUCUAUGAACUAUUUUACCCUGAAAGAUAGGAGAGAUUAAAUUACCAAUCCAUAUUUUUUGCGACAUUUCAAUAGAACUAAGCGUAACAUACUUCGUAUAAAUACAUUCGUCGAAAUUAUUUGAAACACGUCCCGUAUAAUUUUAAUUUGUUUACACUAUUUCUACCACUAAAUUUAUUCUUCUGAAAAUAUUACUAAAAUCAUACUUCGAAAAUAUUACGAAAAGCGUCGAAAAAUAUUGAACAUACAAUUGAUGACAAUACGAGUUCUAUGAACUAUUUUACCCUGAAAGAUAGGAGAGAUUAAAUUACCAAUCCAUAUUUUUUUGCGACAUUUCAAUAGUACUAAGCGUAACAUACUUCGUAUAAAUACAUUCGUCGAAAUUAUUUGAAACACGUCCCGUAUAAUUUUAAUUUGUUUUCACUAUUUCUACCACUAAAUUUAUUCUUCGAAAAUAUUACUAAAAUCAUACUUCGAAAAUAUUACGAAAAGCGUCGAAAAAUAUUGAACAUACAAUUGAUGACAAUACGAGUUCUAUGAACUAUUUUACCCUGAAAGAUAGGAGAGAUUAAAUUACCAAUCCAUAUUUUUUUGCGACAUUUCAAUGGUACUAAGCGUAACAUACUUCGUAUAAAUACAUAUUAUUUAAAACACGUCCCGUAUAAUUUUAAUUUGUUUACACUAUUUCUACCACUAAAUUUAUUCUUCGAAAAUAUUACUAAAAUCAUACUUCGAAAAUAUUACGAAAAGCGUCGAAAAAUAUUGAACAUACAAUUGAUGACAGUACGAGUUCUAUGAACUACGUUACCCUGAAAGAUAGGAGAGAUUAAAUUACCAAUCCAUAUUUUUUUGCGACAUUUCAAUAGUACUAAGCGUAACAUACUUCGUAUAAAUACAUUCGUCGAAAUUAUUUGAAACACGUCCCGUAUAAUUUUAAUUUGUUUUCACUAUUUCUACCACUAAAUUUAUUCUUCGAAAAUAUUACUAAAAUCAUACUUCGAAAAUAUUACGAAAAGCGUCGAAAAAUAUUGAACAUACAAUUGAUGACAGUACGAGUUCUAUGAACUACGUUACCCUGAUCCUACAUAUCUGUCGCUGAUUGGGUAUUGAAAGAUAUAGGAUAUCCGUUUGUAUAUUUUUGUACAUACAACCUCUUAGUGCUCUAUGGAGAUACAUACAAACAAUUGAAAAGAUGUAUUAUCUCGAAUGUCUUUGUAGGCAUAUAAUAUAAUUUGUUUAAUUUUUUGUAGAGAAAUAGAUUUUUAAUUUCAGCUUAACAUUUCAAAGCAAGUACAAGGAUUAUUUUCUCAUUUAUUUAUACGUAAUUUGUUCAAAGAUCCUUUGUGUUGGUUUAUCGACGCCUAAAUAUUUAUAUAUGUGUAUGAUAUUUUGUUGUUAAAAAAUUUUACUCUUAUUAGAGAAGAUUUUGAAAUUGGUUUUUACAUACAUUUGGAUCUUGUCAUAUUUUACAUACUGUGUAUAUAUGUAUAUUAAUAUAUUGAAUAUUAAUAGUGUAUGUAAUAAUCUUAAUUGUAAUUGCUACACGACCACGCAUGCGGUUUCGUUGCCGGAGCAGUCACAUUUACCCAUACUUGUAUUAUCGCCAUUAAUUUGCAGAUUACUUGUUCUUUCGAUAUUCACAUACUAAUAAAGUACUUUUUUACACUGGUGUAAAUUUCCCGUCAUGUCGAAUGACUACCAUAACUAAUUAUGUUGAAGAUGUAGUUAGAAACUCAAUUAUUUUAAACUGCUUCGAAUAUUAUAUAUAUAUUAUAAAUAUUUUACGUACAUACAUACUCACAAAAAAAUAUGCUUUUAAUUUGAAUUAAUAUUCUUUUGAAUAUGUAUAACAGUGUACUUCAUGUCUACUCUGAAAUGUAUGCAUCUAUUUCAACCGUAAAUAUCAGUUUCAGCAAUAACCGCUUAAUCAGAACUCACCUUAAUGUAUUGCUGUAAAAUGCAACAAACUCUUUUGGUUGAGUAAAAUUUAAAAUUGUUAUUACUAAAGAUAUUUUUGAUAUUAAUUAUCUCGUUUCAUUAAAUAAUUGUAAACGUUUAACCUCACUUGAAAGAAGAGAACUUUUUUCUAUAAAUAUUAUUUCUGUAGUCAAAUAAUAAACGAUUCUUAAUCCACGAAUUUUUCAGUUAGCAAUAUACAUACACAUAUGGUCAUUUGAAUAGAAUCACAUGCAUUAUUACACCAUUUUUCACAUUUUUCAAAUUGUUUGUUUGCAAAAACUCGCUUGAAUGAUGUAGAAUUGGAGUAAAAUUUAUUGGAAUAUGAAAACAAAUAUAACAAUCAAUUUCAUGGAGCUUGCAGUAGUUUCGGAAUGAAAUGUUUUCUAAAAAGAUAUGCAUGAAUGACCUGUGGGAAUGAGAAAUCUAUACAAAAUAAACCGAUUUGAGAAAGGAGCAAAUAAAAUUCGAGAAAAUAUACAUAUCUGUAAUAAUAGUUGUGAAACAAAAUAUAGACAGUUCAGGACUAUGGAGGAAGUAAUAUAUGAAAUAAGGAGUACUUAAGAUAUAUAAUUCAGUUGAGAAUGAGAAUUCUAUUCAAAAUUAACAUACUUGAGAGAGAAGCAAAUGAAAUUCGAGAAAAUAUAUCGGAACACAAAAUAUUAACAGUUCAAGUCUAUGGAGGAAGUAAUAUAUGAAAUAAGAGAGUGCUUAAGAUAUACUAUAUAAUUCAGUUGGUGAAAUCUUUAAAAUCCAAAGCAAAUAAUAUUUAUUUCAAUAUGUCAAAGAAAGGAAUGUGAUAUUGAGUGAAAUAAUGAAUCUGGAGUUCCUUGCCACUAGAAUACGCCGUCAAAUUAGUAGAAAGCAUGCCUCGGAGAUGCCAGGCAAUUAUCGACGCCGAUGAUGACUGGACAUAUUAUUGACCAAAUUUCAUCAUUGUUUGUAAUGUGUACAAUGUAUAUGUAUAUAAAUAUGAAAGUUUCAAAAAAUAAUUUUUUUUUAUAAAUUAACACAACCACGCUCUUACUUGACAGACUGUACUAAACAGUAAAGACUUAUAAUUCGAGAGCAUAAAAAAGGAAUUUUUCUAACAGAAAAAUUGUGCGACUUAACUGAACCCAGUUGAAUUAGCCUUGAACUCUCUGAUUGCUUGCAGUUGUCUCCCGUCCUCGUCAGAGAAAAAUUUACAAAGUUGCAAAAAAUCAAAGUGAUGAACUAGGAAACACAUUUAGGAUGCGACCUUUGACCAAAUCGAAAAAAAUGAAUAAUAACAUAAAAGAAAAGUUCAGAACAAAAUGCGUUAUGCAGUUUCGUAAAAAAUCUCGCAAAUAUAGUGAACACUGAGCAUUCCAUUAAUAUACCAAAAAUUAAAACAACAUAAGCUAUCUGCAUAUCACUGGGAUAAACAGAAAAAAUAAUGAAAUGAAAAUAGGAACAAACCAAGAAUAGGAAAAUGAAACAAACAGAGAAAAUGUGAAAAUAGUAUUGAUUUAAAGCGUGUAUAUUUUUCAGGCCAUAUUUGUAGAAAUUUCAAAGUUUAGAAAUUUUUAUGAUCCUUCUAUAAUAUUUUCGUGAAAAAAAGAAAAUUUAUAAUAUUUAUAUCAAACCAAUUAAUAUUUCUUUUAGUAGUAAACUAUUCAAAUAAAUGAUUGCUUUUGAUAAGAUCUGUUUUUAUAAUUAAAAACUAUAUUCACACUUAUCUAACAUAAAAACAACUAUAAAAAAUAAGCUUUGCAUAUGUCUAAAAGACCCAUCGUUGAUAUUGAUUAAAAGCGCUCAAUUUUUAUUUAAUCUUCACUUUAAAGCUUCGUUAUUGAAAAUUUUUCAAAAUUCAACAAUUAACUUUCAGCACAAAAACUACCAAUUUCAAUUUGAGUUUUUGUUUCGGUAGAAAACUAAUUUUCUACAUAACUUCAAUUUCAUAAUACUCUUUAUUCAAGAAGCUUCAUUGAAUUUUACUAAUUACUUCAUUUCGUAUUCAAUAAUAUUUAAUAUAAAUUUUCGGGGUGAGGUUCUUCUCUAGUCUUUUAUAUGAAUUUAUUUCAUAACACAUCAAUAAAAAUAUAACUCCUCUGUGGUCUUCUCAACACCACAAAAAUGAACCUCACCCACCAAAAUAUAUAAACAAAGAGAUCAAUAAUGCACUUGCAUAAAAUUCGUUAAACGAGCAUGGAUGACUUUGUGGACGACCGAAGGAAGCCAGUUAAACUGAGAGUGAGCGCGUUGCAGAAGAACCCUACCGAGGAUGCGAAUAGUAAUCUAGCUGAAGCUGAAGUUCAAAGAAGAUUUUUGAAACAACUUCCAAUAUCAUGGAAAAGCAGCAUACAUCAUUGAAGGUUCCGUUAGUUACUCAAAAGAAGCAUCUGCGCGUGAUAAUCUUCAGUUGAAAUGUCAUCAGAUAUGUAUAUGCUUAUAUAAUGUUUACUUGUCAAAUUUUAUUUCCUUCGCCCGUUUUGUUAAAUGAAAUUGCGA